rnacentral:tRNA from 1 species
GGCCAGGUGGCAGAGUGGUUAUGCAGAGGACUGCAAAUCCUUGUAUGCCGGUUCGAUUCCGACCCUGGCCUCCA